AAAGAAAAGCUUCUAGUAUCUGAGGAACAUUUGAAGAAAUGGAAUGAAGUGAUGUCAUCCUCAUCCCAGCAGCUCAGUCAAGUUGAGGGCUUCCUUUCUGUGCUUCUGUAUUUGGGAAGGGUUGAAUUGAAGAUUUGGUGGAGGAGGGAUUUGAGAUGAUGGGGCCUGAGCCUAGAAAGCAUAGUGGGUGCUCCAGCUGUUCAGCCUCUGCACCUCAGUUGAGACUUUAAUGCCUCAUUUGUUUCUUAAUAUUGUGUAAAUAAUCUUGUGUGGAAGUAGGCAUCAAGAUUUGUGAGAAGUGGUUUUAUUGUUGAGGCGAAGGCAAAUAGAGCCUCUUAACUAAGAUAUUAAAUAACGCCUAUAAUAUAUUUGCUUUUGUCAUGAAAUGAAGCCCUUUUUUUUUUCUUCCUUUUUGCCUAAAGCUGGUUGGGAUAAUAGGAUUCAUCACAAAUUGCAGCUUCUAAAACUAGGAUUGAAAUCUCAUCUGGCCUAGAACAUUUUUCUUCAGGCAUUCAGCAGCCUUCAGAAAGAAGUAUCUUAAUUUUGACCUAGUUUCAUUGUUCUAAUAUACUGUGUUUUUACUCAAUAAACAAGCAGAAUUUUUGUCCUGCUUUAUCUAGGUAUUAAAGAUGAGAAGUUGGAUCCACUGAGUUAGUAUGUUUCCUUGAAAAAAAAAAAAAGUGAUUAAACUUAAGUUUAAGCCUUCUUCUGUAUCGUAACUUUUUCAUGAAAGUAACUUAAAAUCAUAAAACAGUUGAAAAUACCGUUAGACACAAUGGUCGUGCAAAUUAUUACAUGUACAUGAACUUGUUAUGUUCUGAAAUAGGGAUUUUUUUUUUUUUCCAACAAAAAAUAACAUUAUUGACUACUUUUAAAAGUACAUUUCUAAGGCCGGGUUCAGUGACAUGAAUACUUACAGUCUUAGUUACUGGGAGGCUAAGACAAGAAGAUCGCUUGAGCUCAGGAGUUAAUGGCCAGCUUUGCCAAUAGGAAGCAUUCCUUCUCAGAGGGUGGGUGAGUAGAAUGGGUUACCAAGAGUUUUGUGGUUUUUUGUUUUUUGUUUUUUUCUUUUUUUAACCUUUAGCAAACUAUUGCUUGCUACUCAAAUAUAUCAAUCUGGGGCUGGGAAGUUUGCUAAGUUGGUAAGUGAUUGCUUUGUAAGAAUAGGGACCUGAGUUCAAUCCCCAGAACCUCCAUUUAAAAAGCAGCGAGCAAGGGCUGGGCAUGGUGUGGCACGUGCCCUGAAUCCCAGCACUUGGACAUAGAAACAAGUGGAUUUCUGUGAGUUUGAGGCCAACUUCAACAUUGUGAGACUGAUACCCUGUCUCAGCAACAAUGCUAGCAAGCUGUAAUGAUGUUCAUUGUAAGCCCAGCCCUGGCUAGCAGGGUGGAGAUAGGCAAAAGCUUGGGACUUCUGGCCAGCCGGAAGACCCCAGCUCCAAAAAGCAAAGACAUUAGAGGAACAGCCACCAAGAUUGGCUCCUGAGCACCACACACACAGAUGCACAAUAAGCUAUGCCGCUAUCCAAAAUAGAGAUGACUUCUUAAACAUCUGUGAAAUUAGUGUCCAUAACAGAAAGCUAAGAAAAUACAUCUACCUAAGGGUGGCAUGAAAUAAGCAUGAGGGAGUUGGUCUUAGACCCUCUGCCUCUCACAUUAUGUAGGUUGUUAGUGAUUCCAAAUGCUUAAGUAAUAGAGUGUAUAAAACCAUAGACUCAGUUUCUGCUAUUAUAGCUUUUGAUUUCAUGGAGUCUUCCCAUAAUGGUAGCACCAUGUUAUUUCUCUCUGCUCAAAAAUUAUAGAAAGUGGCUGCGGGUGGUGGCACAUACUUUUAAUCCCAGCACUUGGGAGGAAGGAGGAAGGUGUAUCUCUGAUUAGGUUGGGAACUGCCAAGGCUAUAUAGUGAGACUUUCCAAGACCCCCAAAAUGUAGAAGAUACUCAGAAUAUACAUUAUAACUUUUUUUUUUCUUUCGGUCAUAAUCUCAGAUGCUUGCAUGUCAAUGAAUUCAGUUUCAUAAAUCUUUAGCAAGCAGGCCUCUAUCAUAAAGGUUCUCUUCUGGAAAGAUCCUCUAAAUGUUGGCAUUUACUGGUAUAUUUUUUAUAGUUUUGGGGUUUUGUGGGGGUUUCUGUUUUGGUUUGGUUUUUGGUUUCUUGGCAGUUACUUUAAGUAUGUGUUUCUUUCAUAAAAAUUAGAGAAAGUUCUCGCCCCUCAUUGAGAGUGUUCAAGUGUUCUUCCAAAGCUUUCUUAUUUAGCUAGUAUGUGCUUCUCCUGUAAUAGGUGGGUCUCUGCUCUGAUACAUUUGCAUUUAGGCCUUUCAGUCACUGCAUUGCAAAGCCAAUCAAGACCAAGAGACAAGGAUUUUCCCUAAUGUCGCAUAGAUUUUUUUUUCCAGUGCUAAAGUGCCCCAAGAUGGAAUUUUUUGCUUCUAUUUGUGUAGCAGAGAAGAUAAAAGCUUCUCUCUCUUAACCCUUGACAAUCCAUUUUGCUUGGUGUUCUACAACUAUAUGUGAUUUUCAGAAAGAUGCUUGUUUAUGACCUAGAAAGGGCAAAGAAAAAAGAAAUAGUUUAUGGACAUUUAGAUUCAGUUAAUUCUGAUGUACCCACAAGUAGCUGAGACCGUAGAAUGACUGGUUUGAAGGUGGCUUUGGCCUUCAGAGACUUGAAGUAUUUCCAUCAAUUAACCUACCUGUGUCAGUGGUCCCCAGCAGCUACAGGGCUUUGCCAUGUGUAGCUUAACCUCUUCUGACUUCACCAACUGCUGCCAGGACCACAGCUGAUAAUUCAGCAACUUAACCCAAAACAGGGAAGGGAAGACCUUGGGAUUCCUGGAGAGACUGACCUACCCUGAAUACACUGUCCAGAGAAGACCAGGGAACUGAAUCUUCACUGAAAUCUGGGAUUUCCACCGGCUUUUUUCAUUGUGGGCAGUAAAGCUGGAGAAGUUGACAAUCUAAGAAAUGAAGAUGACAGUGCAAGAGACCUCUCCAAGGCUCGCUGGGCCUGCCAACCUUCUGCUCAGGUCCUGUGAUGGCUGUCAGAAGGCCUGGAGUACUGCCAGUGUUGCUGAGCCUCAGCGCUGUGGAAUGGCUACCAUCUGCCAGUUGGGGUGGAUUCCUUUGUAACAGGAGGAACAGAAGAGCCUCGUUUUAACGGAAGAACUAGAAGAGCCACCCAGACAGCAGGAUUUUAAGAACAAACAAAAGACUAAAGCACACUGCAGAGAAGAAAGAGUCCUUAGUAGUGGUCGGAGAGUGAAUGUUGUAUACCUACCACAGUGCUUUUCCUUCUGGAGUGCCGUCAGAGAAGAGCUCAUUGGAAGGGUGCUACCUGGAUGGGACAUCCUACCAUUGCCCUGUCUAGCUGAAGAACUAAAUCUGGAUUGGACUGCUUUAUUCUACCAGGAAUAUUGCUAGGCUAAUCUUCAACCAAUCCCUAGACAAUUGUAACCAGAGACUGACCGUCCACAAAGAGAGACUUCUGACCUAGAACCUCCCUGUUAUUAAAGAAAUCAAGUUGUCUUGUA